UCUUGUGCAUAUCUUUCAUUUUCUAAGGGGGAGCUCAUAUUAAGGGGGNGAUUUUUACAUUAUUCUUUUUGCUUAUGAUCAAAAAGGGGGAGAAGAAUUAUAUUAAGGGAUAAUUAAUAAUUAAGGAAGGGGAGAAAUAUUUUUAAUUGUACAGGUACUGCUAACUCUGUGGCUGUGUUUUAGUUUGUAUGUGUUGCAGGUAAACCUGAGUUGCUUUUAAAAAGAGAAUUUUUUAUCAUCAUCAAAAAGGGGGAGAUUGUUACCAAUAAGGGAGUAUUGGUAAAACCUGAAGAUAAGUUUUGAUGAUGCUGCAACUUGUAGUUUUUGAAUGUAAUAGGAAAAUAC
rnacentral:lncRNA from 1 species